rnacentral:rRNA from 1 species
GACGAACGCUGGCGGCAUGCCUAAUACAUGCAAGUCGAGCGGAGUUGAUAGGAAGCUUGCUUCCUUGAUACUUAGCGGCGGACGGGUGAGUAACACGUAGGCAACCUGCCCUCAAGUUUGGGACAACUACCGGAAACGGUAGCUAAUACCGAAUAAUUGUUUUCUUCGCCUGAAGGAAACUGGAAAGACGGAGCAAUCUGUCACUUGGGGAUGGGCCUGCGGCGCAUUAGCUAGUUGGUGGGGUAACGGCUCACCAAGGCGACGAUGCGUAGCCGACCUGAGAGGGUGAUCGGCCACACUGGGACUGAGACACGGCCCAGACUCCUACGGGAGGCAGCAGUAGGGAAUCUUCCGCAAUGGGCGAAAGCCUGACGGAGCAAUGCCGCGUGAGUGAUGAAGGUUUUCGGAUCGUAAAGCUCUGUUGCCAGGGAAGAACGCUUGGGAGAGUAACUGCUCUCAA